rfam:Cicer arietinum chromosome Ca5, whole genome shotgun sequence.
UAUCCCUAUGAUGAUUUAUAAUCAUUAAAGUAGUGGACUGAAUUUCCUUGAAGAAAAUGAAGUCAGAGGGAUU